AUGUCAUUGCCAGAGUUGAAGGAAGCUGGCCUUCAAUCUCCAACCAGGCUGAGAGCACCAUUUGAGCUCAAGAGUGAAUUGUAUUGGAAAAGCAGCAGAAUCUCCGAAAUGAAUUGUCAUGAAAUGAGGCUUCAAAUGAAAGUGCACGGAGAGCCUGGGCCUAAUUGGCAGAGGAGUUAGUCAGUCUUAUAGAUUCCUUGACUUGGAGACUGACUGCUCUCUGGCCAGCCCUCAUUGGAUUCGGUGACUUUCUGGUACUCUGACAUCCUGGUCUCUUCUAAUGUAAGCUCUUUAGACUUCCUUCCAGACACUUUUCUGUUAUUUUUCUCAAGCCUUGAGUUUCCUGAUUCUAAGAACUCUUUGCCCUAACUUGUAAACCCUUGCCACCCAGUCCAUUUUACCAAAGUCACCAUUAUGACCUGAUCAGGAGACCUCUCAGCCUCUCAGUUUCUUUAUAAGAUGAUUUUAUUAGUCAGCGUUGUUGAGAGUCAGAAACAAUUGGAAAAUAGACUUGUGUGUAUGUAUAUAUAUAUAUAUAUAUACUUCCAAAAUUCAUGGACAAAUAGAAAGAUAAAUUUAUUUUUGUUGUAAAUUUUUUUUGAAAUCUAUGCAUAGUGUUUUUAAUUAUACGCAUUUCCUAUGAACUUUUUGAAGACUCCCUCAUUACACACAUAAACACACACACACACACACAGACUGAUUUAUUAGGAGAACUGGUUUAUGUAAUUAUGGAGGCUGAGAAGUCCCACAACAGCCUGUCUGUAACAUACAGACCCAGGGAUGCUGGUAGCAUGGCUGAGUUCAAGUCCAAAGGCCUGAGAACUCAAGGGACCCCUGGGUUAAGUCCUGGAGUCCAAAUUCUGGAGCACCCAGAGUUCUUAUGUCCAAAGGCAUGAGAAAAAAAAUGUAUCCCAGCUCCAGGAAAGCUAGAGAGUAAUUCACCUUUCCUCUGUUUUCUGUUCCAUCUGGACCCCCUGCCUAUUGAAUCUUGCCACCCACAUUGAAGGUGGAUCUUCCCUACCUAGUUCAUUCAGACUCACAUGAUGAUUUCCUCUAGAAACAGCCUCAAAAAUACAUCCUCAAAUAAUGCUUUGUCUGUUCUCUAUUCAUUAAGUCCAUCAAAUUGACACCUAAAAUGAACUAUCACAUGACUCUGAGAAAAAAUUCUCAUUGUACUGCAACCU
rnacentral:lncRNA from 1 species